UUCGUAGGUGGUGCGGCAAGUUGGAAGUGAAAUCUCUGGGCUUAACUCAGAGGCCGCUUUCAAAACUGCCGUGCUCGAGUGCGAGAGAGGUCAGUGGAAUUGCAGGUGUAGCGGUGAAAUGCGUAGAUAUCUGCAGGAACACCCGUGGCGAAGGCGGCUGACUGGAUCGCAACUGACACUGAGGAACGAAAGCUAGGGGAGCAAACAGGAUUAGAUACCCUGGUAGUCCUAGCCCUAAACCAUCAGAACUUGGGGUGGCCCGCGUAGGCGGGUCGUCCCGUAGCUAACGCGUUAAGUUCUGCGCCUGGGGAGUACGGUCGCAAGACUGAA
rnacentral:rRNA from 1 species